rnacentral:rRNA from 1 species
AUUGAACGCUGGCGGCAGGCCUAACACAUGCAAGUCGAGCGGAUGAAGGGAGCUUGCUCCUGGAUUCAGCGGCGGACGGGUGAGUAAUGCCUAGGAAUCUGCCUGGUAGUGGGGGAUAACGUCCGGAAACGGGCGCUAAUACCGCAUACGUCCUGAGGGAGGAAGUGGGGGAUCUUCGGACCUCACGCUAUCAGAUGAGCCUAGGUCGGAUUAGCUAGUUGGUGGGGUAAAGGCCUACCAAGGCGACGAUCCGUAACUGGUCUGAGAGGAUGAUCAGUCACACUGGAACUGAGACACGGUCCAGACUCCUACGGGAGGCAGCAGUGGGGAAUAUUGGACAAUGGGCGAAAGCCUGAUCCAGCCAUGCCGCGUGUGUGAAGAAGGUCUUCGGAUUGUAAAGCACUUUAAGUUGGGAGGAAGGGCAGUAAGUUAAUACCUUGCUGCUUUGACGUUACCAACAGAAUAAGCACCGGCUAACUUCGUG